rnacentral:tRNA from 1 species
UACAAGGUGGUCGAGAAUAAACUAUAAACUGUAAAUUUAUAAACGGGAAAUUACCCCCUUGU